rnacentral:rRNA from 1 species
UGGGGAAUAUUGCACAAUGGGGGAAACCCUGAUGCAGCGAUGCCGCGUGAAGGACGAAGAAGUGACGGUACUUAAUGAAUAAGCUCCGGCUAACUACGUGCCAGCAGCCGCGGUAAUACGUAGGGAGCAAGCGUUGCCCGGAUUUACUGGGUGUAAAGGGUGCGUAGGCGGCAGAGCAAGUCAGAUGUGAAAUCCGUGGGCUUAACCCACGAACUGCAUUUGAAACUGUUUUGCUUGAGUGAAGUAGAGGCAGGCGGAAUUCCCUGUGUAGCGGUGAAAUGCGUAGAGAUAGGGAGGAACACCAGUGGCGAAGGCGGCCUGCUGGGCUUUAACUGACGCUGAGGCACGAAAGCGUGGGUAGCAAACAGGAUUAGAUACCCUGGUAGU